GCUAAAUUGCAUAAAAUUAGCAACAGCCGGCUCGCCAAGUCACCUGCUUUAAUCAUGCCAAGCAGUGUUGGCACAGCGCCCAGUUUCACCAGCUUGGCCCUAUUACUCUGGAUUAAACUCAAAUGAUACAAGGCCAAAGCUGAGUCGUGGCGAGUUCGCUCACUCUCACACCUCAGAGCGUGCAUCAAUGGGUGUAACGCUCCAAAAACCCCUAUUGUCAUCUUGUUCUCGUCUUCUAAAGCUAAACUGAAAAGCGCACCGGCGGCAUGCUCUUGCGGUUCACUGGAUCCGGCCGUUAAUAGAUCAAUCAAAAGAGGAACAAAUCCUGACCGUACGAUUUUAACUUUGUUCGCUUUCUCCAGCGAGAGAUUUACCAGUGCAGCGAUGGCGUUCGUUUGCACGACGCAGUAUCUCGACGCAAUCAAGGAACGGAGAGCUGUGAGUAAUCGGUGAGUACACAGAGGAAUUCUCAUUUCCUCUCGUGCUCUAGUAAGCUUCCUCAGCGAAAUCACCGCCUCUUCUUGUUCGUAUACUUCAGGGCUUCUAAGCUUAGCCACAAUCUCUUCCUCUUCAGGGAAUGAGGAAUUGGAGCUGGAGUCAGCGGAAUCAGGAUUUUGCGUUAGGGUUUCAGCUUCAGCAAUUUCGGAUGACGAGUUAGAAGAUGAAGUAUAACACGCUGGGCGAGUCGCGAAAGGCAGCAGAGUAAACGGACUCGCCGUCGCGUUGUUGACAAUCAUGGAUUCCUCGGAGGAGCUCGAGUAGAAAU
rnacentral:misc_RNA from 1 species